UGCCACUGCUGAUGUGCACGGGUCAGGACCAGUGGAGAAACAUCAGUCUCUCCCCGGGGAUGGACAUUUUCUUAUCCACAGGGCCAGAGGAUGCCCAGAGAGUCACCGGCAGCUGAGACAAGAGGGAGGGUGCCUGAAGAACGGACUGGGUCACUACCAACCAACUGCCACCUGUUCCCCUGGAUGCAGACCAGGCGGAGUCACCACAGCCACAAGGACCUUCUGGGUGGAGCUUGGAUCUCCCAUUGCCUCUGACAUCUCCCUCAUCUUUGGCAUCUCCCACAUCUUAACGUGACUAAACCAGAACUGUUUAUUUUUCCACCCCGAUAGCUUAUCUAUCCAUAAUACAUUUAUGUGCCAUAAUGUCUAUCUCCCACUCUAGCCUGUGAGCCCAGAGUGGGGAAGAACUGUGAUAGUUGAUGGUUACAUUGUUCUUUCCCCAAAGCUGUGUACAGUUUAGGAGCUGAAUAAAAAUGAUGGAUUGGCCGUGA